UUACAAGUAAAAGAAGAGGGGUAUUUAUAACUAAAGAAUUAGGGUUUAGGGGUAGGGUGGCUCCAUCUUGACCAUCCAUGUGCCUUGAGUGUUGGGAGAAUUGUGGCCAUCCAUGUGUCCUUUACUUGCCAACCCUUUUUCUUUCUUCUUUUCUUUUCCCUUUUCUUCUUUUUCUUGCAUUUUCUCUUCUUUCUUUAUUUAUCUACAAUUUCCUGAAAUAAAAUAAAUAAGCGAUUAAUACUACGAAAAUAAACAAAAAAUAGGCACUUAAAUAUGCAAAAAUAUGGACUAAUCAAACUUCCCCAUACCUAUCUUUUGCUCGUCCUCGAGUAAAAAUCAAAAGAAAAGAAAAUAAACUAAGAAAACUAGAUGCGAUUCCUAGGCUCCUUUUCGUAGGCGUGACGGGUGAUUUUAGGUUCACCAACCCGUUAAACUCGUAGACGAUCUCUACAAGAGGAGUUUUGUCUCCUAAGGGUUUACAGAAGAUAUACCCAUAAAAUCUUCGAGACCUUCUAGCAAGCAUCCUACUCGACUC
rnacentral:lncRNA from 1 species